GACGAACGCUGGCGGCGUGCUUAACACAUGCAAGUCGAACGGAAAGGCCCUGCUUUUGUGGGGUGCUCGAGUGGCGAACGGGUGAGUAACACGUGAGUAACCUGCCCUUGACUUUGGGAUAACUUCAGGAAACUGGGGCUAAUACCGGAUAGGAGCUCCUGCUGCAUGGUGGGGGUUGGAAAGUUUCGGCGGUUGGGGAUGGACUCGCGGCUUAUCAGCUUGUUGGUGGGGUAGUGGCUUACCAAGGCUUUGACGGGUAGCCGGCCUGAGAGGGUGACCGGCCACAUUGGGACUGAGGUACGGCCCAGACUCCUUCGGGAGGCCGCAGUGGGGAAUAUUGCACAAUGGGCGGAAGCCUGAUGCAGCAACGCCGCGUGCGGGAUGACGGCCUUCGGGUUGUAAACCGCUUUCGCCUGGGACGAAGCGUGAGUUACGGUAAUGGGUAAAGAAGCACCGGCUAACUACGUG
rnacentral:rRNA from 1 species